rnacentral:rRNA from 2 species
UGCAGUCGACGAGUUCCCGUUGAUUGACGUGCUUGCACUGAUUUCAACAUUGGAACGAGUGGCGAACUGGUGAGUAACACGUGGAAAACCUGCCCAGAAGCAGGGGAUAACACUUGGAAACAGGUGCUAAUACCGUAUAACAACAAAAACCGCAUGGUUUUUGUUUGAAAGGUGGCUUCGGCUAUCACUUCUGGAUGGUUCCGCGGCGCAUUAGCUUGUUGGUGGGGUAACGGCUCACCAAGGCGAUGAUGCGUAGCCGACCUGAGAGGGUAAUCGGCCACAUUGGGACUGAGACACGGCCCAGACUCCUACGGGAGGCAGCAGUAGGGAAUCUUCCACAAUGGACGCAAGUCUGAUGGAGCAAUGCCGCGUGAGUGAAGAAGGGUUUCGGCUCGUAAAACUCUGUUGUUGAAGAAGAACGGGUGUCAGAGUAACUGUUGACAUCGUGACGGUAUUCAACCAGAAAGCCACGGCUAACUACGUGCCAGCAGCCGCGGUAAUACGUAGGUGGCAAGCGUUGUCCGGAUUUAUUGGGCGUAAAGCGAGCGCAGGCGGUUUCUUAAGUCUGAUGUGAAAGCCUUCGGCUUAACCGAAGAAGUGCAUCGGAAACUGGGGGAACUUGAGUGCAGAAGAGGACAGUGGAACUCCAUGUGUAGCGGUGGGAAUGCGUAGAUAUAUGGAAGAACACCAGUGGCGAAAGCGGCUGUCUAGUCUGCAACUGACGCUGAGGCUCGAAAGCAUGGGUAGCGAACAGGAUUAGAUACCCUGGUAGUCCAUGCCGUAACGAUGAGUGCUAGUGUUGGAGGGUUUCCGCCCUUCAGUGCGCAGCUACGCAUAGCACUCGCCUGGGGGAGUACGACCGCAAGUUGAAACUCA